CGAGCGUCUAUUGACAUUUGACAACUUCAGAAAACGUAAACAUUACCUAUUCACGGCACUAUUUUGGGACAGUGUUUAUUAUUGGUGUGCUAGGCAUUACAUCCGUAGUCAGUGUAAACUGCUAAAGUUUUAGCUGAACUAUGGCGGAAGAUUUUUUAGCUGAUAACAAUUUAUGUGGUCAGACUCUUCUACGCUUAGUAUCUCGAGGCCAUGCAAUCAUAGCCGAGCUGCUACGUCUGAAGGACUUCAUUCCACCAAUUUUUCAGUCUGAUCAAAAUAAGUAUCACGAAAUUAUAAUUGAUUUCCGAUAUUUCAAAGAACAGGAUGCAUUUGAUUCAAAAAUUAAUGGAAAUGAUCUCCUCAUGGAAUUAGAUGAGGAAUUGCGUAAAAAUUACAUAGAGAUUCUGACCAGGUUUUAUCUAGCAUUUGAAAGUGUCCACAAGUAUGUUUGUGACCUAAAUGCUUUUCUCCAUGAAGUUGAAGAAGGCAUGUACAUUCAACAAACUCUUGAAACAGUUUUUUUGAAUGAUGAGGGAAAGCAGCUAAUGUGUGAGGCACUUUACCUAUAUGGCAUCAUGCUGUUAGUCACUGACACCCACAUAGAUGGACCUGUCAGGGAGCGCAUGCUAGUCUCUUACUAUAGAUAUUCUGUACAAAGAACCCAUUCUAAUUCAAAGUUAGAUGAAGUAUGUCAGCUGCUACGCUCGACAGGAUUUUUGAAAUCUCAACCAGGAAGAAAACCUCAACAUUAUCCAGAAGAAUACUUCAGACGCAUUUCCAUUGUUCCAGUUUAUUUGGAUGUUGUAAUAGGUCAUUUGAGAUCAGAUGACAUAUACCAUCAAAUUGCAACACAUCCACAUCCUGAUCACCGGAGUACAGCACUUGCUCAGCAAGCAGCUAUGCUCGUGAUUUGUCUUUACUUUACACCCGACAUUCUGCACAACCAAACAGCAAAAAUGAGAGAAAUCGUUGAUAAAUUCUUUCCAGACAACUGGGUUACUAGCGUGUACAUGGGUUUAAUCUUCAACUUGGUCGAAGUAUGGGAGCCCUACAAAGCUGCACGCAUGGCGCUAAGCAAUACAAUCCAGGCCGCAAAUGUGAAAGAAUGCUCAAUCAAACAUUGCAACCAAAUGGAACAACUUAUAAAGCAUUUGCAUCAGUUACUCAAAGAAGGGGUAUUGACAGAAGAAUUCCUUUUGGACAAUAUGCAAAAACUUAUCAAUUUGAUCCGACAAUCGAACGUUACUUUACGCUGGAUGCUUUUACAUACCAAUACGUUAACUGCUGGUAAUAGGAAUAACUCGUAUAACUUUGAAGUAAUAUCGAUAUUUCAUAGUGUCUAUCAUGUAGGGGCAGAAUCGCUAAAAAAAUGCCGGCAAGUACGAGACCAAGUUCUUCUUGACACAAAAUAUCAGCCAGUUCCAGUGUUCGAGUUACUGCUCGACUGCGCGGAACUCGAAUUGAAUGUCCGAGAAACGUUCCGAAUUCUAUUGACCGAAAAACGUUCCAAAUGGCUUCUAUGCAAAAAGGAAUGUAUAGAACGACUGACAGAGUUGGCGGACGUUUUCAGUGGGGCAAAGCCGUUGAGCCGAGUCGAAAAAAAUGAGAGUCUUCAGUUAUGGCUUCGUGAGAUUGCCCAACAGGUAGAAGCAUUGAACUACGAGGAAGGCACAGCUUCCGGCCGUAAAAUGGUUCAGCUGAUCUCUGCUCUCGAAGAAGUUCAAGAAUUUCAUCAGCUCGAUUCCCAGUUACAGGUCAAGCAGUUUUUGACGGAAACGCGGCGUCAGUUACAUCAAAUGAUACGCACCGCAAACAUCCGAGAAGACUUCCUCAUUACUCUUCAGAUAGUCUCUGAUCUAAGCUAUGCUUGGCUUAUCAUCGAUUCCUACACCAGUCACAUGCAAACAGCUAUACGAAAAGACCCAAGUCUCGUUGGCCGUCUACGAGCAACUUUCCUGAAAUUGUCUUCCGCUCUCGACCUACCACUAAUGCGCAUAAACCAAGCACGAAGUGCUGAUUUGGUUUCCGUUUCACAGUACUAUUCAACUGAACUCGUCUCUUACAUUCGCCAUGUAUUACAUAUCAUUCCACAGUCCAUGUUUGCCCUAGUCGAACAGAUUGUACAGCUUCAGACAAACGUUAUCAAAGAGAUGCCUAUGAGACUGGAUAAGGACAAACUUAAGGACUACGCACAGCUCGAUCAGCGAUUUCAAGUUGCUAAGCUAACAGAAUCUGUUUCUACGUUCACCGAAGGUAUAUUAGCCAUGAAAACAACUUUGGUUGGAAUUGUCCGUCUUGAUCCUAAGCGACUACUGGAAGAGGGCAUACGCCGAGAAUUAGUACGCAGAAUGGUAAAGGCUAUGCACGACUCGCUCUCUUUCAAUGCUAAAGCCAGGAAUAGUGAUCUCGCUCACAAACUAACCAGUUUAGGUGAAACCAUGGAGGGUCUCCGGAAAUCCUUCGAGUACAUUCAAGACUAUGUGCGAAUUCAGGGUCUUCGUAUGUUUCAAGAGGAAACAGCACGAAUCGUGGGGUACAAUGUCGAGCAAGAAUGCAAUACAUUUCAAACUGAUCACAUUCAAGACUGGCAGAGUAAAUUCCAGUCCACUGCUGUGCCAAUUCCUCGGCUUCCUUCAAAUGAUCCUCAUUCGGCAACGUUCAUUGGGCGACUAGCCCGGGAAAUUCUUCGCAUCACCGAUCCCAAAACAACAACCUUUGUUCCUUCCACAAACACUUGGUAUGACAGCAAAUCGCAAGCAGAAGUAUUGAACUUUCUACUGUUCUCCCAGCUUGAACAAGCUUUAAGUACAUCAGGAUUGGCUGGAUUAGACACUCUUUUUGCCUUUAUGAUCACCACCGAAUUAACUAACCUUUUUAGUGAUUUAAAGAAGGAAGUUUUCCGCCAUCAAGAUUCUUUGGAAGUUCUUGCAGAGUUUGAUCAUCUAACCGCACCCACAACAACAAUCCUCGGCCAACCAAGUAAAACAUAUGGGACUUACUGCACUCGUUUUCACAAGUCUUUUCAGACGCUCCUUGAUCGUGUACUGAAAAUUGGUCAGUUACAGUUGCUGAGGCGCUCGUGCUCUCAACAACUAAAGUCUACCGCAUCGUUCGAUUCCGGACUUCUUUGGCAAGCAUUGGAAACUCUCAGCUUAUCAGUAGUAAACGACGUAGUGCGUCGCGACAAAAGUUCCAGUUCGAUUUCAACGUCAUUGCUCCCCGAGUUGGCAGAGUAUUUGCAUUGGUCGGGCCUCUAUGAGCCAUUCGAGAAGAUCUACGUUGCUACACAUAGUCUCGACUUACCCUACAUACCUCAUUUAUUGCUUUUGUUUAUCGUGUCGAACGUACACAAGUUUACGUACAGCAAACAACUUGCUAGUCUAGUGUCGAAACGCCCUCAGGACGGCGCGGACGGCACUCCCUUUGUGAUCGGAAGUGCUACAUUGUUUCGUCACCUGGGCUCUGCUAGCACACAGGCAUGCUGCAGUCUCUUAAUCCAAUUUGCUCGUUCUCACUUGGAGUUUGGAGCGAGCAAUAAAGAGAACCUUAUGGAAAUUCCAAGCGAAAGCGGAACUACACUAGCGUUGCUGGAGCAAUGGGAAAAGUGCGGAUUGAUUAGCCGUGCCUUUUUAAACAGUCUACUCAACGAAGGUGUUUGGUCGCUAUAUAAAACGUCGAUGGCGUGAUAAAGCUUUUUGUGGCCUUUAGUUGUUUUGCAUAAUGGAAAAGUGUUGCAGUCGUACUGGUUGACUUUAGUCAGUUAGCGGCGUGCUGCCGAGUAGCAUUCACGUUCCCUUGCGGAAUGAAAUCAUAGGCUCUUUCCGGUUGUUAGGCUUCUUUCCCCUCGUGUAAACCAAUUUGCCACAGCCUGCUCUCAUAGUCAAUGCUUUGGAAAAAAAAACCAUUCACUCAAAGUCAGUACGAGGGAUGGAAUACGAUCAAAUCGCAUGUGUGCUGGAGUUGACCGCCCUGGUUUGCUAUGGAUUCCUAAUCCUUGGUCUGGCUUUGUACUGGCCUAACGAAGCCAAUGUUUACCUGUUAUUUUUUUGCUUUUCGAACGGCAUUUUAGCCCUUAUCGGUGCAUACAAACCAAAAGAAGACUGCGAACUUUGCAGGUGGAAUGGUAUCCUGACUUUGUUCUCUUUGACGUUGGGAUUUGAUUCGUUGUACCGAAGUCAAAUCGAAAGGAAACGUAUGGCUGACCAUCAGUUCAGGCUCUAUGAAAAUCGAUCCGUGUAUUUGGUAAUUAUCAGAAGCUGGGUUGUUUCUACAAUAUCAUCUUUAGCAGCAUGGAACAUCUACCAUUACAGCUCAGCAUUUCAAAUGUGUUUUUUAAAGGCUUCCCCAUUCGCCAAGCUGGACGAAACCAUGAUCAGCUUCUUUUGGAUUCUCUUCUUCUAUCUCCGGCCUGUAACUCUAACCGUUAAGCGAAUCCCGCACAUCCUGAUAACUUGCCACCGUCAAAUGCAAGUGUUGAAGCACGAAAGAGAGCUGAGCAUUAAUGGGAAACUCUUACUUUACAAAGAUCAUCAUAGAAGACUUUUCCACGUCAUCAUCUCCUCGGUGUCUCAAAUUGUGUUUCUGACGUGGCUAACGUUGAGUCUACCCUACGUCAUUCAACUGUUCUCCUUGGUAGCUGGAUUAAACUCUGCCAUUCGUUUGGAGGAAAUGUCACCAUGGAACGCUGCUGUUUUUACGUAUCUAUAUCGAUCUCUGCCUUUAGUCAAUUGUUUCCUAUUUGUAUCGGCGUUUAUUGUCUAUUUUUCGCUGACGUUAAAAUAUUGAUAUCCAUUUCCUAUUCGUUUGUUAGUCAAUAAUACUCGUUCGAUGCUGUUAACGUAUGACAUAUUUAUAAACUACAAUCGCAAAAAAGCACAGUGCCAUUCAAAACAUU